UCCCUCUCAGUCCCACUCUCCCUCUCAGUCCCGCUCUCCCUCUCAGUCCUGCUCUCCCUCUCAGUCCCGCUCUCCCUCCCAGUCCCUCUCUCCCUCCCAGUCCCUCUCUCCCUCUCAGUCCCUCUGCCCCUCUUCCUCUCUCCAGUUUAGCCAAUCCUGCUCUGUCUUUGGAUCACAGACUUGCGUCACCAUGGCAACAGCUGACGUCUAAAGUAACUGCCCCCCAAAAAAGUGUUUUUGUGUGUGUGUGUGUGUGUGUGUGUAUGUGUGUGUGUGUGUAUGUGUGUGUGUGCAUGCAUGAUGGUGUGUGUGUCUGUCGAAAACCUCCCUUGUUUCUGAUACAACCAUUUUCUGCAAAACGUUAAUCAUGACCUCAUCCUCCCUCCACCUAUCCAGUUAAUUGUCCAGCGCACCGCUGCCUCUUUCUCGCUCUCUCUAUUCCCUUUCAGGUCAUAUUAUCCAUAUUCACUUUUACUAUCUUAUCCAUUCAAUGCGUUAUUCAUCUCUGUUUCCUAUGUGUGGAUGGCGUUUGGUGAUACUUAAAUAUCUGAAAUACCGAAAUGGCAAAACAAGGAGAUGGACGGAUGACAAAACUGUGAUGACGAUGAGGAUGAUGAUGAGGAUCGGUUUACGGGUAAGGGCACAAUGACAAAGUCAGGAGUGCCACUGUUGCUGCCCGACACCACCUGAGUUUAACUGACAAUAACCGCAUGGCGGUAUGGUAGACUAGACUGGGUAUAACCUACCUCACCAUGGCAAUACUGUUAUAUGGCAUAAAGAUAGAGGGAGAGAAAAAGGGACCAUGUUGCCAUCAUGUCAGUCAACAAAUAAAGGUGACUGGCUAGAGGUGGAGAAGGAACAGGGGGAAGAAAAGGAGAAAGAGAAAGAGGGGAGACUCCUUUCUUUGUCUGGUGCAUUGUGCACAUGUUUCCCCUCCUCUGUCAUCUUCCCUCUCUAUCCUCCCCUUGACAAUACUCCUAGACCCCUCUCUUUCUCUUUGUCACCAUGUACCCCCGGUUCCUUCCCUCUCUUUCUCUUUCUCUUUGUCACCAUGUACCCCGGGUUUUCCUUCCCUCUCUUUCUCUUGGGUCACCUGUACCCGUUUUCCUUCGUCGCCUUUCUUUUUCCUUUGUCACCAUGUACCCCGGUUUAGCCUUCUCCUCUCUUUAUCUUUGUCACCAUGUACACCCGGUUUCCUACCCUUCUUUCCGUUUUGCACCAUGUACCCCCGGUUGGUUUCCCUUCUCUUUUUUUCUCUUUGUCACAUGUACCCCCGGUUCCUCCAUCUUUCUCUUUGU
ensembl:lncRNA